UGUCAUUCGCAUAGACACAGGUGUAGUUUGUGCAGGCAUUGGAUUGGAAUACAAAUCUUUUAAAUCGCUGAAAGAACCAUCUUCUUCGUCCCCUUCGAGGUUUUCGCUAUCUUCGUCGACUACGGUUCUGCGACUCGCCUUUCGUUUCGAAGCUCCACCGUUUUUUGGCUUACUGCGGGAAUUUUUUUUUGAGGUGACCACAGGUUCAGGUGUGGCAUCUUCCUCUUCCUCUUCCUCUUCCUCUAGUUCUUCCUCAUCAACUUGGGCUGAUUCCUCAUCGUCGAUGAUGUCUUCUUCAUAAUUUGUAUCAUCUUCUUCUAGUGCUUCCUCUAUCUCUUGUUCAUCUAAAACACUUUGACCUUCUUCUGCGGCAAGAGCAUCAUCACCUAAUUCCUCUUUCGUAGAAACGCUUAAACUGUCAGAGUCUUGAGCGUUUAAAUCUGACGGCGUUUCGACUAAUGCGCGUCUCGUGGAUCUUCUCCGUGCCAUUAUAUUAAAUAUGAUACUUAGGUAGUCUUUUAAAGUCUAGUAAAAACAAAGGUGCAUUUUAAAAAUUAUUUUUUAAUUGAAAGUACACAAAUCGUUACCAACUUUUUCAGAAGCUGCUAAGUUUCACAGUUAUUUCAAAAAAAGAUUUCACUUCUACAGUAAACUGCUAAGAUAAAGAUUAAAACUGGCUUAAGAUUUAUGUCGUUGGUGGAGAAACCAUGUGCCACAUUAAGACGGUUAUACGAAUAGUAAAUGGAUGCACUUAUCGAAACAUUGUGGAUUGUACGUUAACGAGUUUUCGUAUUUUAUUACAAUUUCUAUUUUUUUUGUAAAUAUAUCACACUGAUAGAGAGCACCUAUCAAACGCUUCAUAAUUGGUUUGUUUACUAGUUGUCGAAAGCACUUUGUCGACCGUUGAUUUGCAUGCUUUAAAUUUGUAAGCAAGUGGUGUUAAAAUUCUAAUCGCUAGAUGCUGUGCGCCUCUUGUAAAGCAACUUAUUAGCUCUACUGUAUUACCAACCCUGGUACUCUAAAAGCAGAAGUUCAACGCUUUCUCAUUGCAAAAGAAUUUUAAAAAGCACUGUUCCGAUUCUGUAAGUAGUGUAUGGAGCUUUUUUAAUACAAGUAAUAAUAGUUUUUGUAUUACUUUAAAAUGAACAUUCAUCAAGUUAUAGUCGAAAUUUGUAACUUAUUGAAUGGUGAUUUCGUAGCAAUUUAAAAGUCUUCUAGUAUUGCUCAUACUUUUCUUCUGAAUAAUUCAAAACCCUUACUACUGUAGGUAGGAGAAGCUUCACUUUUAGUUCAUAAACAAUUGAUUCCAACAUUACAGAUCGAAUUAUUUCAAGGCAACUCAAAAAAGUAUAUAAAUCUAUGCAAAAUCACGAUUACUUUUAAGACUAUUCAACCAACGUUUUUCUUUACGAGAUUUCUCCCGAUCGUCUAAUGGUCUAUUAGAGGAUUUCAAAAUUCGGCGAAUACUUUCAGGUGAAACUCCAUAUAGUUUUGCCAAUUCUGAACAUGACAUAGAUGAUUUUUCUUUCUUUAGACGCCGAAUUUCGUCCAUAGAUUCUAAAGGAAGUUUCUUUUUUGGAUUCCAAUAGCCUCCAAUUUUUCGUUUGACCGCUAUGUUCUGCUUUUUCCACUCUAUAGAGGCUUUGUUUGAAGCUUUGAAGGUAGAGCUUAAACGGCGAAAAAUCAGAGUAGUAUAGUUGAAUAUAUUCAUC
rnacentral:lncRNA from 1 species